UAGUCCACGCCGUAAACGAUGAGUGCUAGGUGUUAGACCCUUUCCGGGGUUUAGUGCCGUAGCUAACGCAUUAAGCACUCCGCCUGGGGAGUACGACCGCAAGGUUGAAACUCAAAGGAAUUGACGGGGGCCCGCACAAGCGGUGGAGCAUGUGGUUUAAUUCGAAGCAACGCGAAGAACCUUACCAGGUCUUGACAUCCCUCUGACCGCUCUAGAGAUAGAGCUUUCCUUCGGGACAGAGGUGAC
rnacentral:rRNA from 1 species